GAUGAACGCUGGCGGCGUGCCUAAUACAUGCAAGUCGAGCGAACAGACGAGGAGCUUGCUCCUCUGACGUUAGCGGCGGACGGGUGAGUAACACGUGGAUAACCUACCUAUAAGACUGGGAUAACUUCGGGAAACCGGAGCUAAUACCGGAUAAUAUAUUGAACCGCAUGGUUCAAUAGUGAAAGACGGUUUUGCUGUCACUUAUAGAUGGAUCCGCGCCGCAUUAGCUAGUUGGUAAGGUAACGGCUUACCAAGGCGACGAUGCGUAGCCGACCUGAGAGGGGGAUCGGCCAAACUGGAACUGAGACACGGUCCAGACUCCUAAGGGAGGCAGCAGUAGGGAAUCUUCCGCAAUGGGCGAAAGCCUGACGGAGCAACGCCGCGGGAGUGAUGAAGGUCUUCGGAUCGUAAAACUCUGUUAUUAGGGAAGAACAAAUGUGUAAGUAACUAUGCACGUCUUGACGGUACCUAAUCAGAAAGCCACGGCUAACUACGUG
rnacentral:rRNA from 1 species